AGUGAGCCUGCUCGCGAUAGCGGUGUGUCAGACACAUCAGUUUUGACUGAUCCGACGCUAUCGCGAGCAGGCUCACU
rnacentral:antisense_RNA from 2 species